rnacentral:tRNA from 1 species
GCCGGUGUGGUGGAAAUUUGGGAGACACGAGGGAUUUAAAAAACCCCUUUUCCCGCGAAGGAGUGCUGGUUCAAGUCCGGCCACCGGUACCA